CAGCCGUAAACUAUGCGCGUUAGGUGUAUCGGUGACCACGAGUCACCGAGGUGCCGAAGGGAAACCGUGAAACGUGCCGCCUGGGAAGUACGGUCGCAAGGCUGAAACUUAAAGGAAUUGGCGGGGGGAGCACCACAACGGGUGGAGCCUGCGGUUUAAUUUGGACUCAACGCCGGGAAGCUCACCGGAUAAGACAGCGGAAUGAUUGCCGGGCUGAAGACUCUGCAUGACUAGCUGAGAGGAGGUGCAUGGCGUAGACGUCU
rnacentral:rRNA from 1 species